GACGAACGCUGGCGGCGUGCUUAACACAUGCAAGUCGAACGGAAAGGCCCUGCUUUUGUGGGGUUCUCGAGUGGCGAACGGGUGAGUAACACGUGAGUAACCUGCCCUUGACUUUGGGAUAACUUCAGGAAACUGGGGCUAAUACCGGAUAGGAUCUCCUGCUGCAUGGUGGGGGUUGGAAAGUUUCGGCGGUUGGGGAUGGACUCGCGGCUUAUCAGCUUGUUGGUGGGGUAGUGGCUUACCAAGGCUUUGACGGGUAGCCGGCCUGAGAGGGUGACCGGCCACAUUGGGACUGAGAUAAGGCACAGACUCAUACGGGAGGCAGCAGUGGGGAAUAUCGCACAAUGGGCGGAAGCCGGAUGCAGCAACGCCGCGUGCGGGAUGACGGCCUUCGGGUUGUAAACCGCUUUCGCCUGUGACGAAGCGUGAGUGACGGUAAUGGGUAAAGAAGCACCGGCUAACUACGUG
rnacentral:rRNA from 1 species